GUGAUGAUGAAAGAAUAGAUGGUUGGCAUCUCUCCUAGCAGGGACGGGAAUAGCUUUCGGGCUUACCUGUUACCACACAUUCCGGGGGGGACAUUAUUGU